GACGAACGCUGGCGGCGUGCUUAACACAUGCAAGUCGAACGGAAAGGCCCUGCUUUUGUGGGGUGCUCGAGUGGCGAACGGGUGAGUAACACGUGAGUAACCUGCCCUUGACUUUGGGAUAACUUCAGGAAACUGGGGCUAAUACCGGAUAGGAGCUCCUGCUGCAUGGUGGGGGUUGGAAAGUUUCGGCGGUUGGGGAUGGACUCGCGGCUUAUCAGCUUGUUGGUGGGGUAGUGGCUUACCAAGGCUUUGACGGGUAGCCGGCCUGAGAGGGUGACCGGCCACAUUGGGACUGAGAUACGGCCCAGACUCCUACGGGAGGCAGCAGUGGGGAAUAUUGCACAAUGGGCGGAAGCCUGAUGCAGCAACGCCGCGUGCGGGAUGACGGCCUUCGGGUUGUAAGCCGCUUUCGCCGGUGACGAAGCGUGAGUGACGGUAAUGGGUAAAGAAGCACCGGCUAACUACGUG
rnacentral:rRNA from 1 species